rnacentral:rRNA from 1 species
CUGCGAGUGAAGCGGCAAAAGCUCAAAUUUGAAAUCUGGGGCCUCACAGCCUCCGAAUUGUAAUUUCACGAUACGUUUUCGACUGAAGGCUCUGCUUUAAGUUCCUUGGAACAGGACGUCACAGAGGGUGAGAAUCCCGUGAUAGGUGGAGCCUGAUGCAUAUGAUACGUAUUCAACGAGUCGAGUUGUUUGGGAAUGCAGCUCAAAAUGGGAGGUAAAUUUCUUCUAAAGCUAAAUAUUGGCGAGAGACCGAUAGCGCACAAGUAGAGUGAUCGAAAGAUGAAAAGCACUUUGAAAAGAGAGUUAAAAAGUACGUGAAAUUGUUGAAAGGGAAGCGCUUGAGACCAGACUCAAUCUGUAGUGAUCAAUUUGGCUUCUGUCAGAUGCACUUGCUACUUAUUGGGACAGCAUCGGUUUUGGCGGUGGGAUAAAGUCUUGAGGAAUGUAGCUAUCUUCGGGUAGUGUUAUAGCCUCUUGAGUAAUGCCACCAGCUGGGACCGAGGACCGCGCCGCAAGGCUAGGAUGCUGUCAUAAUGGUCUUCAGCGACCCGUCUUGAAACACGGACCAAGGAGUCUAACAUCUAUGCGAGUGUUCGGGUGGAAAACCCUUGCGCGUAAUGAAAGUGAACGGAGGUGGGAACCUUAGGGUGCACCAUCGACCGAUCCUGAUGUCUUCGGAAGGAUUUGAGUAUGAGCAUAGCUGUUGGGACCCGAAAGAUGGUGAACUAUGCCUGAAUAGGGUGAAGCCAGAGGAAACUCUGGUGGAGGCUCGCAGCGGUUCUGACGUGCAAAUCGAUCGUCAAAU